AGGAUGUGAUGCUGACGAUGAUGAGGAGGCUGAUGAAGACAAAUCUCUCAGAGGCAGCAACAAGCACAUUGACCAAGACACUGACUCUGGAGGGGAGACUGACUAUGAUGAGGAGGCUGAUGAAGAGGCUGAUGAAGACAAACCUCUCAGAGGCAGCAACAUGUCCAUUGACCAAGACAGUGAUUACGAUAGCUCUGACUCUGGUGUCUGUGACUGAUCUCUCGUAAGCAUCUCGGAUGUGCUUUACAGAUUCACAAUGAGUUAAUUUAGGAUAUUAGAAAGUUGACAUAUGGAGAGGGAUGCACCAGCCCGAUAUUGGUCUUGUAAAGCUGGAUCAAUAAGUUGUUACAUUAAUGAACGUGAUGAUUAUGACAUUUGGAAUUAUUGUACUAACUAGAAAGUGAAAACUUCAGAAGAAAUUUUAAGUGUGCCUAUGCUGCUGCCAAUGAGUGUAGUUUGCCAUUCAAACGGCUACAGAGAGCAAAACUCAGCAGAGCAGCCAUUCUCCACCAU